UCGCAUCCCUGUGUUUUCCGUGAUACAGUACAGUAUUCGAGUUCAGUACAGGAUUCACUUUCCCCUCGGAAUUCCUUUCCCCUCUCUUCUUCCUCGUCGGUCACUUUUCUCCAACCCCUGCCUUCUUUUCGCAUCUCUGCCAUCCCGCUUCAGAGACGAGCUCGCCAAGGACGGAACUCCACCUCAUGGUCCUGGUAGUGGAAGAGGAAAUACGGCCGUCGGCGCAGGUAUUCUCUGCAGUGAGUGCCGAUUCACCUGUGGAUGCAGCAGCAGCUUGAUCUCCUAUUGGCAUUUGGCAAGGUAAAUCAUUUAGCUGCUGGAUCUGAUUUCCUUUGACUAUUAAAGGAUCUUGUUUGGCUUAGGUAAUUUUUUUCUUAACUGAGCUGAAUAAAUAAAGAUCUGCCUACUGGAGCAUAAGGUUUGCCUACUGGUGUAGCUUUACGGGAUAUCUGGUUGUUUUUUCUCUUGUAAUCCCUUGUCAACUAGCAAGAGGACGCCCCCAUAAAGAUGACUGUCCAGAGGGGACGCUUGCUGCUCAUGCAGUAGCCUCGUUUGCCUCAACUAUCUAGAAUCUGGCCAGGGACACUUGAGCAACCAGAUCAAGAAUGGAGAGUGUGGUUGCACUGCUUGCUAGGGAGUUCAUCAUCAGAGGUGAAAACAAACCUUUCUUUUCUUUUUAGUUAUUUUACAAAGUUGAUUCAUGGACCAUUUUAGCUACAGUAAGGUUACCAUUACCAAAAUGUAACAAGAUCACAUCACAAAGAUGCAUUCCCUUUAGUGGAAUAAGUCCCAUUACUAUGGGCCAACCUAGUGAAAUUUACAUCUAGUCUCCACCUACAUAGUGGAAAAAGUAUUCAGGUUCCUUGGUGCUUUCCUGUGGUAUUUUUGGAAAUUUUGAUCCUGAAGCAAAGUUGUGAAAUGUACCAUGACUUUGUUCCUUAUCAUAUAUUUGUCUUACUCUUUCUUAGAUGUUAUUUUGCAAGUAAAAUAGUGAGACCUCUUUUCUUUUUGGUAGUGCAUUCUAAAAGGUGAUUUCUAAUCAUAUUAGUGAUGGAAUGAGUAGCUGUAGAGAUAGAGGAACACCAUAUACCCUUGGACCGGGGUGUGACUUUCCUGUACUAUACUCUUGUUCCAGCAGUUAGGACUAAAUAUGUUGAUAUUGAUGAACAUUUCUUGCUCUAUAUAUAUAUACUAAUGAAAUGUUUAGAUGUUGGCUGAAAUAUCCUAGUCACCGACGAGCCUAUUAUUGAGUUACAUUUUAUGUUCUAUAUAAUACAAUGAAAUGUUUAGCUACUAGCCAAAAUGUUAGUCGAGAUCACAAGGUGUUCAGUGCAGGUAGAUCACAAUGUUAGUUGAUACCCAUUCAGCUGAUACAUUUUGUUUUGGACUAAACUCACUAGUUCUUUAUUACACAGUUAUGAACUCCACUAUUUUCUGCCUUUUUCAUGUUCUGUUCUAAUCAUGACCUAUGCAGGAAUGCGGUUCCUUCAAAUACAUCUAAAUAGGAAGGAAUUAUAAUUUGACAAGAAUUGUAUGACUCCGUCUCUCAUUUCUUUGGUAAUCCAUUGAAUACAACAUUUUGGCCUUAUAUUUUGAAUCGUAGUUUUACGUUAUCAUGUGGAGAGACACAACAGCAUCGCAAAGGGAGAGUGAAAUGUUCAUAUAAUGGAUUAUAUCUUUGUGCAAAACGCAUGCACACUUCAUUUGGAUCAGCAUAUAGCUUUCCAAUUGAUGCACCA